rnacentral:lncRNA from 1 species
UAAAUAUGAUCUAUACUAUACAAGAAAUGAUAAUUGUCUUGAAUGUGAAGGACCUAGGCCAACAAGACAACUGACUGGUGGGGAAUGGGACUGCCCUCAGUAAGCAAUACCUUGUAUUUUCUUUAUGUGUAAGUGAUUAAUUGGCAUGAUUUUUAGAAGCAGCACAAUUUUUUUCCUAGUCUAUGUCAAAAUUGUUUAGUUUGGGAGACAGAGAAACAUUGUGAAGCAUAACCAGGUAUGGAUUACUUCAGUCAUUAUAAUUAAACAAUCUAAUUCAGAAGUCCAUGGCAACUCAUUAGCUCUUUACAAUUCCAGGAUGAAAACUAUGUGACCAUUUAAGUGAAUUACUUGAACAAUCUUUCUCUUUACAAUUAAUGACAAAGAAAAAUACCACCAAAGCAAUUAUAUAACCGUUUAAGUAAAUGAUCCCAGAAAAAUCACUUGCAUUCAAUUAUGGCAAGCUGGUUACCAUCCAGUGUUUACAUCUUAUCUAAUUGGUAUUGGAACAAUCAACAAGCUGAUGUUAUAAAGGUCCAUAACGAAACUAGUGCUGCAACAAAAUAAUAAUAAUAAUAGAGUUAAUCUGAGAUAAUAAGUUAUUAAGUGCAGUAUUCUAGAUACAUGGCAUGGAUCAAGUUAAAUCUGACCACUUGAUAUGAAUUUUUAGUAAACAUAUAAGACAUUUUUCUUUUGUCCUUGAGAACAUUUGGUCAUUUACCCAUUUCAUGGAUCAAGUCACCAAUCCAUAUAGUUCAUUAAGUUUAUUGUUCCCACUUUUAACAACCUUAUUCCCUUUCCGAAAAAUAAUCUUAAAAAACAUAAUGAUAUUUUAAGCUCAAAAUCCCCCUUCACCAUCUAAACCCCUAAAAGGUAUAAUUUUUUUUAAUUUAUGAAUUCUAUUAUUAUGGAAUACAAUUGAAACCAAAAAUGAAGUUGCAUGCAUGCACACCACAGAAAAAGUGCUUAUAAACAUCGAAUUAACAAAAAUUUGAUCAAUUCAUUAUGCAC